UUGGGGGUGCCCGAAGGACUGCCUCGCGCAGUACUACGGCAAAUUCAAUGACAAGGACUAAGUCGUAACAAGGCACGGGUAGCGGAAGCUGUUCGUGGAACAUAUCCAAA
rnacentral:rRNA from 1 species